AGAGUUUAGAUCCUGGCUCAAAUUGAACGCUGGCGGCAUGCCUUACACAUGCAAGUCGAACGGCAGCACGGGGGCAACCCUGGUGGCGAGUGGCGAACGGGUGAGUAAUACAUCGGAACGUGUCCUGUAGUGGGGGAUAGCCCGGCGAAAAGCCGGAUUAAUACCGCAUACGCCUCUACGGAGGAAAGGGGGGGAUCUUAGGACCUCUCGCCUACAGGGGCGGCCGAUGGCAGAUUAGCUAGUUGGUGGGGUAAAGGCCUACCAAGGCGACGAUCUGUACCUGGUCUGAGAGGACGACCAGCCACACUGGGACUGAGACACGGCCCAGACUCCUACGGGAGGCAGCAGUGGGGAAUUUUGGACAAUGGGCGCAAGCCUGAUCCAGCAAUGCCGCGUGUGUGAAGAAGGCCUUCGGGUUGUAAAGCACUUUUGUCCGGAAA
rnacentral:rRNA from 1 species